rnacentral:rRNA from 1 species
AUUGAACGCUGGCGGCAGGCCUAACACAUGCAAGUCGAGCGGAUGAAGGGAGCUUUCUCCUGGCUUCAGCGGCGGACGGGUGAGUAAUGCCUAGGAAUCUGCCUGGUCGUGGGGGAUAACGUACGGAAAGGGGCGCUAAUAUCGUAUACGUCCUGAGGGUGAAAGGGGGGGAUCUUCGGACCUCAAGCUUUCAGAUGAGCCUGGGUCGCAUUAGCUAGUUGGGAAGGUAAAGGCCUACCAAGGCGACGAUCCGUAGCUGACCUGAGAGGGUGAUCGGCCACACUGGAACUGAGACACGGUCCAGACUCCUACGGGAGGCAGCAGUAGGGAAUUUUCCGCAAUGGGCGAAAGCCUGACCGAGCAAUGCCGCGUGAGUGAUGAAGGUCUUCGGAUUGUAAAACUCUUUAAGUAGGGAAGAAGAAAUGUGUAAGUAACCAUGCACGUUUUGACGGUACCUAAUAAGAAAGCCACGGCUAACUACGUG